GACGAACGCUGGCGGCGUGCUUAACACAUGCAAGUCGAACGGUAAGGCCCUUCGGGGUACACGAGUGGCGAACGGGUGAGUAACACGUGGGUGAUCUGCCCUGCACUUCGGGAUAAGUCUGGGAAACUGGGGCUAAUACCGGAUAGGACCACUGCCUGCAUGGGUGGUAGUGGAAAGCUUUUGCGGUGUGGGAUGGGCCCGCGGCCUAUGAGCUUGUUGGUGGGGUGAUGGCCUACCAAGGGGACGACGGGUAGCCGGCCUGAGAGGGUGACCGGCCACACGGGGACUGAGAUACGGCCCAGACUCCUACGGGAGGCAGCAGUGGGGAAUAUUGCACAAUGGGCGCAAGCCUGGUGCAGCGACGCCGCGUGAGGGAUGACGGCCUUCGGGUUGUAAACCUCUUUCAGCACCGACGAAGCGCAAGUGACGGUAGGUGCAGAAGAAGGACCGGCCAACUACGUGCCAGCCGCCGCCGUAA
rnacentral:rRNA from 1 species